AACCAUGUCACUCACUGGCUUGGCUUUGCCCAGUGGCAGGCCCCUUUUGGAGCCAGCUGGAACUGGCUUUUAUCUCACAUGAGACAGCUUUUGGACUCUUCUCACAGAGGCCUCGCUGCAGCCUCCCCCAGUACCAAAACCUUGCCAUGUAAGCCUAAUACAAAAAGGAAACUUUCAAAAACAUAUCAAGACACAAUGAAGCAAAAGAGUGGACAAUUUUCCCUUCUGUCUUUGGCCUCAAUUGUCAUUGCUCAUGCUGCAUCACUUUAAGGAGAAAAAAACGUAUAGAUUGCAGUGACUCAGAACCACAUCACCAUGGAAAAGUCUAAUAUGGAUGUUUAUCACCUUUUUUGAUCCGGAAGUUCCUUUGUCAGUUUUAAUGUAAUACAUUCUCAAACUGCUUUCUGACUUUGUUCCCAUAUUCUUUUUGCAUUCAGAAACUGAGUAAACCACAUCCUAAUUUUAUUGUUUUACAAAAAU
rnacentral:lncRNA from 1 species